rnacentral:rRNA from 1 species
GGAUUAAAGGUGGCCUUUGCGCUGCCGCAGAUGGAUGAGCCUGCGUUGGAUUAGCUAGUUGGUGGGGUAAGGGCCUACCAAGGCUACGAUCCAUAGCUGAUUUGAGAGGAUGAUCAGCCACAUUGGGACUGAGACACGGCCCAAACUCCUACGGGAGGCAGCAGUGGGGAAUAUUGGACAAUGGGGGAAACCCUGAUCCAGCAAUGCCAUGUGUGUGAAGAAGGCUCUAGGGUUGUAAAGCACUUUAGUUGGGGAGGAAAGCCUGUGAGUUAAUAGCUUGCAGGAAGGACGUUGCCCAAAGAAUAAGGACCGGCUAACUCCGUGCCAGCAGCCGCGGUAAUACGGGGGGUCCGAGCGUUAAUCGGAAUUACUGGGCGUAAAGGGUCUGUAGGUGGUUUGUUAAGUCAGAUGUGAAAGCCCAGGGCUCAACCUUGGAACUGCAUUUGAUACUGACAAACUAGAGUAUGGUAGAGGAAUAGGGAACUUCUGGUGUAGCGGUGAAAUGCGUAGAGAUCAGAAGGAACACCAAUGGCGAAGGCAACAUUCUGGACCAAUACUGACACUGAGGGACGAAAGCGUGGGGAUCAAACAGGAUUAGAUACCCUGGUAGUCCACGCUGUAAACGAUGAGUACUAGCUGUUGGAUUCGGUGUAAAGGAUCUAGUGGCGCAGCUAACGCGUUAAGUACUCCGCCUGGGGACUACGGCCGCAAGGCUAAAACUCAAAGGAAUUGACGGGGACCCGCACAAGCGGUGGAGCAUGUGGUUUAAUUCGAUGCAACGCGAAGAACCUUACCUGGUCUUGACAUCCUGCGAACUUUCUAGAGAUAGAUUGGUGCCUUCGGGAACGCAGUGACAGGUGCUGCACGGCUGUCGUCAGCUCGUGUUGUGAAAUGUUGGGUUAAGUCCCGCAACGAGCGCAACCCCUAUUGAUAGUUACCAUCAUUAAGUUGGGUACUCUAUUGAGACUGCCGCUGACAAGGCGGAGGAAGGUGGGGACGACGUCAAGUCAUCAUGGCCCUUACGACCAGGGCUACACACGUGCUACAAUGGGUAUUACAGAGG